UAAUGUUAGGCAACCAAAAGUGGAAAAAGUUGUGGCCAUAAUGCUGGUGUGUGCAUGGGCAUGCACAACACCUCCCUGCCCCCCACACCCAGUGAAUCACGUUCUUCAUUUGAUUGCACUCUUGCAACUUCAUUGAAGUCAAAGGAGUUACACUGGUAUUCUGUUUAUUGACUAAACCACAAGGAUCCCUGCCCAAAGUACCAGGCGGUCUACGCUUGAAUGAUUUUGAUUUUCUAACAUCAGCCCUGGGGUUUAUUUGAAAAAUUGGUAGCAGCAGCAAAGGAUGAGGUGGCAAAAUGCUUUUGAGCAACAGAAAUGACAGUAUCCCGGAUCACCAGUAUACAUAGCAUACACCAGUGUAAUCCUUUCCAGUUACUGGUUGCAUUUACUUUUUCUUUCUUCUUCUUGCA